rnacentral:rRNA from 1 species
AUUGAACGCUGGCGGCAGGCCUAACACAUGCAAGUCGAACGGAGUGUCGAACGGGUGAGUAAUGUAUCGGAACGUGCCCAGUAGCGGGGGAUAACUACGCGAAAGCGUAGCUAAUACCGCAUACUCUUGGCGCGGCCGAUAUCGGAUUAGCUAGUUGGUGGGGUAAUGGCUCACCAAGGCGACGAUCCGUAGCUGGUUUGAGAGGACGACCAGCCACACUGGGACUGAGACACGGACCAGACUCCUGCGGGAGGCAGCAGUGGGGAAUUUGGGACAAUGGGGGAAACCCUGAUCCAGCCAUCCCGCGUGUGCGAUGAAGGCCUUCGGGUUGUAAAGCACUUGUGGCAGGAAAGCGGUACCUGCAGAAUAAGCACCGGCUAACUACGUGCCAGCCGCCGCGGUAAUAC